AACUGCAGAUAGUACAGCCUGCUUUGCAGCAAUGGGAUGUCUGAACACAAGUGGCUGACUUCCGAGUGACUUUAUGAAGCACUUUUAUACUUUCCUCCUGCAUUAAACUGGGAUUCUGCAUUCUUGGCACUCACCCAUCAGACUCUUCUCUGCUGCAGGGAACUGAGUAUUUAGUACAGCUUAGCAUUAUGAAACUGAAUCUGAGCAGAAUUGCAGACCAGCAAAUCAAAUGAGCUGAAGGCAAUUUGACCAGCAUCUUCUAUGUUCUGUCCACAGAGGUUGAUGAAGCACCAGGUCUCCAAGGUUGAGCUUCACGAUAAUAUGAUGAUGUGGCAUUCAAGAGGGCUCUUAAGAAAAAAAAGGAAAAGUAUGAACUAUGAACAAGAAAAAAGGUAAACUAAUUAAAAAGCACACCAAAGCCCAUAAUUAUCCUUUCCUUUUCUCACUGAUCAGACCAGAACCUAGACUGGUGUAAACUGACAUGCCUUCAUUGACGUCAGUGGAGCUGUUUCAGUUUAUACUAGCCAAAGAUCUGGUCCCAAAUGCCUUUAUGCCAUUUUUAGAAACAGCCACUGGAAUUCACUUGAGUGUCAAAAUUAAAAAUACAUCCAUGCACUGCAUUUCUUUUCUGUCCCCAAGUGUAUAAAUGGAGGUUUGUUAACAGACUGUGGGAGAUGGAAUUACUGGAAGCAGCCAAUAACUGCAUCCAAGAUAUAGUUUGUGACAUAAGCGAAACAAAUGUGGUUUUGUCCUUUGCUUUUGGGCAAAUGAAUAUUUGCAUCCAAAAAAACCCAAAAACCUAAAACCUUUCACUCCUAGAGUAACAAUUUAACAAAGGAACACUAAUCAUUUAAAGAUGUUGUAAGCCUCAGAACAUUUGUCCUAGAAUUACAUUAAUGUAAUCAGCCAAUCAACACAGAGGGUCUAUUUUAAUAUAUCAUUAAAGAGGUAAUCUAGGAGUGAAAUACUUAGAACUUGCAAGAAAGCCCCAAAUUCCAGACCUACUUGCUCACCCAGAUAAUUUCCCUAAGAGUCUCACUGCUGGAAUAGCAACAAGAUUGAUUAAAAAAAUAAGAUGGCUGUACAAAGCAGCCAGCAUGGAGCCAGACCUAUUUGACAUCUAUCAUUUAUUCUCCAAUUGAUGUGUGUGUGGGGGUGGGAGAAGAAAGGAAGGAAGGAGGUGGGCCAGUGAAAGAACAGAGUAACAUUUCAAACUAGAGUUGUAGGCACUAUUACCAGGUUGAGAAAAGGAAGCCUGUAUGUCUGUGUUCCACACAGAGAGGCUGUUAAACAUGAACACUACUGAACAACAACAUCCAGUUGCUGAUAUUACCCACAAUGCAGGUAAAUUGUUCCUCUUUUGAUGCCAGAUAAAAAGGUCCAAAUAUGAAAGCCUGGUAAUUAGGAACAAAGAUGCAGCUUGCAGAGCAGAAUAGUAACCGUCUGUGCAGCACAACACCCAUAUCUUCAAUUUAGGUCAGUCCAUCAAGAGAAGAGAACUGGAGAUGAGAUGCUCUAUUUCGCACAAUUGCCCUCUGGAAGGACUGGCAAAGGCAGUCACUUAAAUUAAGUACAGGUCAUCAGACAAGAUAUCUAAUCUAUUCCUAAGACAGACAUCUUCAGCAGCCCAAAUCCCUGUGGCCUUUACAGUGACACAAUGAACUACUUCCUCAUGUACUUCUGUCUAUUCAUGUUAGGUUCUUACUUUUUUAAAAGCUAUAUUUCAUGUACACUAUGACCCUAUUGCUCAUAGCAAGGAAAGUGCUUUGGUUUAUUUAUGACCUACUAACCUUAAAUAAAAAAGCAUACAUCCAAUCUGAAUGUUCUCAUAAGCCUGGAGAUCUGAAAUAAAACUUUAAAUAAAUCUGGCAUUUGUACUGCAGCCAGCUCAGCCCAGUUGGGGAAUUAAAAAAAAAAAAAUCAAAACCAGAUGACAGAAGAGGAAAGCAUUAUUACUCUGUAUAAACUGCAAGUGUUCGGCAUCAGAAGUGCCUGGAUUUGGUAAGAGUCUAGCUUCUAGCAGUACAGCUAAAU